rnacentral:rRNA from 1 species
GAUGAACGCUGGCGGCGUGCCUAAUACAUGCAAGUCGAGCGAACGGACGAGAAGCUUGCUUCUCUGAUGUUAGCGGCGGACGGGAGAGUAACAUGUGGAAAACCUACCUAUAAGACUGGGAUAACUUCGGGAAACCGGAGCUAAUACCGGAUAAUCUUUUGAACCGUAUGGUUCAAAAGUAAAAUACGGUCUUGCUGUCACUUAUAGAUGGAUCUCCGCUGCAUUAGCUAGUUGGUAAGGUAACGGGUUACCAAGGCAACUAGGCAUAGCCGACCGGAGAGGGUGAUCGCCCACCCUGGAACUGAGACAGGCACCAGACUCCUACGGGAGGGAGCAGAAGGGAAUCUUCCGCAAUGGGCGAGAGCAUGACGGAACAACGCCGCGUGAGUGGUAGAGGUCUCCGGAUCGUAAAACUCUGUUAUGAGGUAAGAACAGAUGUGUAAGUAACUGUGCACAUCUUGACGGUACCUAAUCAGAAAGCCACGGCUAACUACGUG